GAUGAACGCUGGCGGCGUGCUUAACACAUGCAAGUCGAACGAGAAAUGUAGACGGAAACCUUCGGGCGGAAGCCUUCAUUUCGAGUGGCGGACGGGUGAGUAACGCGCGGGUAACCUGCCUCAUACAGGGGGAUAACAGUUGGAAACGACUGUUAAUACCGCAUAAGACCACAGCAUCGCAUGAUGCGGGGGUAAAAACUCCGGUGGUAUGAGAUGGACCCGCGUUCGAUUAGCCAGUUGGCGGGGUAACGGCCCACCAAAGCGACGAUCGAUAGCCGAUCUGAGAGGAUGGCCGGCCACACUGGGACUGAGACACGGCCCGAACUCCUACGGGAGGCAGCAGUGGGGAAUAUUGCACAAUGGGGGAAACCCUGAUGCAGCGACGCCGCGUGAGUGAAGAAGUACUUCGGUAUGUAAAGCUCUAUCAGCAGGGAAGAAAAUGACGGUACCUGAGUAAGAAGCCCCGGCUAACUACGUG
rnacentral:rRNA from 1 species